UGCCUUUGUAUUGCCCGUUCAUCGUCUCAAAAGUGAAUGGGUUACUGAAGGAGGCAUACAGUAAUUAUUGUGGUUGUCUUUGAGGGGUGCGCACCAAAUCCUUUCAAUUCGAUCAACUGCAACAACAACU
ensembl:snoRNA